rnacentral:rRNA from 1 species
AUGGUUGAGCACGUCCAAAACUAUGAUGUGCUGGAGAAGUGUACAAAAGAUAUUCUCUCCAUAAUCAAGCCAACAGAGGACGAUCGGAACAAACGACUGCAUGCAAUUCAGGAGAUUGUGAAUUCCAUCUAUUUAGUUGGUGGCUUAGGCGAUGCCGCUGUCAAACCUUUUGGAUCCUUUCUAUCAGAACUCUAUGCAAAAUCAGGCGAUUUGGAUGUAUCAGUUGAGCUGCCAAAUGUCUCAGGCUUCUCUACAAGCAAGGAAAAGAAGCAAAAUCUCUUGAGAAAACUAAUGAAAGCUUUACAAAUUAGUGGUGUUGCUAGAGAUGUGAACUUCAUUCCUACUGCAAGAGUUCCAGUCCUUCAAUAUGUGAGCAACCACUUUGGCAUUUCCUGUGAUAUAUCCAUCAAUAACUACCCUGGUCGAAUUAAAUCCAAAGUGUUGUACUGGAUCAAUACCUUAGACAGCCGCUUUGGUGAUUUGGUUUUAUUGGUCAAGGAAUGGGCAAAAGCUCAAAACAUUAAUGAUCCAAAAAAUGGAACCCUGAACUCCUAUUCGCUUUGCUUACUUGUCCUUUUUCAUUUUCAGACAUGCAAGCCUGCAAUUUUACCACCUAUGAAAGAGUUUUUUGAUUUUAACAUUCUAGGAGUUUGGGCGUAUUGUUGUCCAUUCUAGUGAGGUUAUCCACUUACACGGGUCGGCUCCUGCGAAAACAAGGCGGCCUAUACUGGAUGACCAAAUCUUACUGCUUGUUUGUAAG